rnacentral:rRNA from 1 species
GUCUAUGGCCAUGCCAUCCUGAAUAAGCCCGAUCCUGUCUGAUCUCGGAAGCUAAGCAGGGUCGGGCCUGGCUAGUACUUGGAUGAGAGACCACCUAGGAAGACCAGGUGCUGUGGGCA